rnacentral:ncRNA from 2 species
UAAUAGUAGUUGAAAAUGAUUAUCAAUACCACAUAGAACAUCCCCCCACAACGUUUCGUUCUUGUUGGAUUGGUCAUUUUCAAAUAUUCCCCUUUUAUAUGCCCGUAAAAGACAAUAUACGUUAUAACAACGUUUUAUAAAAGCAGUAAACCCUUACGACACUUUAGGUUUACUGCUUUU